rnacentral:tRNA from 1 species
GAGGGUAUAGCUCAAGUAGUAGAGCGUAUGCUUAGCAUGCACAAAGUCCUGGGUUCAGUCCCCAGUACCUCCU